rnacentral:ncRNA from 1 species
CGACGAUAAUGGCAAACUUCGGGAAAUCGAAGGGCGCAAAGCUAUAGGGGCUAAAGCAGGCUUGCCUGCCAUGCCAGCCAGCUAUCGAA